CGGGGUCGUGGUGUAGCCCGGUUUAACACACCUGCCUGUCACGCAGGAGAUCGCGGGUUCGAAUCCCGUCGACCCCGCCAA
rnacentral:tRNA from 1 species